GCCGCCCGGCCCGGCCCCCACCGAGGCGCCGCGCGGCCGUGGCGCCCGGGCCCCCUGCCGGCUGCGCUCUGCGCCGCGAGCCGGUGCGCGCCGGCUCGGACCGGCGGGUCUGCAGCCCCGACCGCUGCCGGCACCCCCGCAGGGCGCCCGGCCCGCCCGCUGUCUCUCCUCCGCCUCCUCCUGGCCUCGCCCGCCCCUCUCCGUGUCCACAGCGAGGCAGCUUCGGAGGAGAAACGUUCUGCCCGUCGCCUCCCUGAUCCUCGCCGCCUCCUCUUAGGACUCAUUUGAAAACAUUGGCUAUAUUACCAAGGCUUUGACUGGAAUGUCAUAUUUGAGAGAAACAUACAGGCUCAGAUAUGACAAGACAGCUUUUCAGGAACAAAAAUUGGACCUUCUGGAAUAAAGCCACUUGGAAAUAUUGGCCUGGUUGUUUACAGAGAUUCAGGCAAUCUUACCUGUUUCACUUCCUGGACCACUUCCCGUCAAAUGAUUCUCUCGUCUCCAGAGGAUCUGUAUACCUUGUCAGCCUUGGACUCCACGGGCGCAAGCUUCUCAUCUGCUGAACUUCCUGCCUUGUACCCCUGUGGCCCCAUUUAGGGACGGCUCUACGACCUUGUGCAGCCGGAAGUAGUUACAGAAGACUGACCAUCGUCCAUAUCCCCAAAGGAUUUCGGGGCCAAAUAGGUUCAGGGGGCAUUUUAUGAUGGGAGAAAGGCCCAAGGCAUCCUGUCCUACAUACCGAUCUAUAUCAUCCUCCGGGAAGCAGAGGACAUCCUGACUUAAUCUGACCUGAUUCCUAUGCAACGUUAUAGGACCACCCGAUAACCAGACCCCACCUGCACUGAUACCAUUUUAAUGAUUUUUUUUAACAUGAUUUUUCCUUUGUCUUGUAAAGAGAUAACUCACAUACCUAUGCCUUAUAAAUUUAGCCCUACCCUCAACCCAUUGCAGCUCUUCACUGCCCAUGGGUCCUGUCCCCAUGCUGCAGCUCUUACUGCCCAUGGGUCCUGUCCCCAUGCUACUCCAUGCUAUUCUCUGAAUAAAAGGGCACUACUGCCAGACCUUGAGAGUCUAAGAAAUCUUUCAACUCUUUGGCUCGCUGAGCCCACAUCACA
rnacentral:lncRNA from 1 species